GGAGGAAAAGAAACCAACAGGGAUUGCCCUAGUAACGGCGAGUGAAGCGGCAACAGCUCAAAUUUGAAAGCUGGCCUUCGGGUCCGCAUUGUAAUUUGUAGAGGAUGCUUUGGGUGAAACGCCAGUCUAAGUUCCUUGGAACAGGACGUCAUAGAGGGUGAGAAUCCCGUAUGUGACUGGAAAUGUUAACCUAUGUAAAGCUCCUUCGACGAGUCGAGUUGUUUGGGAAUGCAGCUCUAAAUGGGAGGUAAAUUUCUUCUAAAGCUAAAUAUUGGCGAGAGACCGAUAGCGCACAAGUAGAGUGAUCGAAAGAUGAAAAGCACUUUGGAAAGAGAGUUAAAAAGCACGUGAAAUUGUUGAAAGGGAAGCGCUUGCAAUCAGACUUGUUUAAACUGUUCGGCCGGUCUUCUGACCGGUUUACUCAGUUUGGACAGGCCAGCAUCAGUUUCGGCGGCCGGAUAAAGGCUCUGGGAAUGUGGCCUUCACUUCGGUGAAGGUGUUAUAGCCCAGGGUGUAAUACGGCCAGCCGGGACUGAGGUCCGCGCUUCGGCUAGGAUGCUGGCGUAAUGGUUGUAAGCGACCCGUCU
rnacentral:rRNA from 1 species